GUGCAUAUUGGUUGGUGUUAUAUUGAAUGCGGUGCUGAUAGGAGGAUUUGAUUAAGUGUAACUUUGCAGCAUAGUUGGGGUAAUGCUGUAAUCAGACAUAUGGUGAAGUCUGCCUUGGCUGAUGAUGGGCGGUCAUUUUGCUGAAUCAAUCAAUAAAUCAAGAUACAGCAA